AUCUGAAAAGUGAACGACCCUUCGGGGAGCUUUGCACAGGUUGCUGCAUGGCUGUCGUCAGCUCGUGUCGUGAGAUGUUCGGUUAAGUCCGCUAACGAGCGCAACCCUCACUGUGUGUUAUAUGUGUCACACGGGACUGCCGGUUUUAAGCCGGAGGAAGGCGGGAUGACGUCAAGUCAGCAUGGCCUUUAUAUCCUGGGCUACACACACGCUACAAUGGUCUGUACAAUAGGUUGCCAAGCCGCGAGGCGGAGCCAAUCCAAAAAAGCAGGCCUCAGUUCAGAUCGCAGGCUGCAACCCGCCUGCGUGAAGCCGGAGUUGCUAGUAACCGCAGGUCAGCUAUACUGCGGUGAAUACGUUCCCGGGGCUU
rnacentral:rRNA from 1 species